GACGAACGCUGGCGGCGUGCCUAACACAUGCAAGUCGAACGGUCCGGCACUCAACCGACCCUCAGUCUAGCUGUAGGUGAGGUUAAGUGCCGGAUAGUGGCGGACGGGUGAGUAACGCGUGGGCAACCAACCCUGUACAGUGGGAUAACACCGGGAAACCGGUGCUAAUACCGCAUGACACCUAGAUGGUGCAUACUGUUUAGGUUAAAGGGCAAAACCGGUACGGGACGGGCCCGCGUCCCAUUAGCUGGUUGGUGAGGUAACGGCUCACCAAGGCGACGAUGGGUAGCCGACCUGAGAGGGUGACCGGCCACACUGGGACUGAGACACGGCCCAGACUCCUACGGGAGGCAGCAGUGGGGAAUAUUGCGCAAUGGACGGAAGUCUGACGCAGCGACGCCGCGUGAGCGACGAAGGCCUUCGGGUCGUAAAGCUCUGUUCUUGGGACGAAGGAAAUGACGGUACCCAAGGAGAAAGCCCGGCUAACUACGUG
rnacentral:rRNA from 1 species